rnacentral:lncRNA from 1 species
UGGUGAGUGAUUGUAGUGAAGUGGUGUAGAGAAUAUUGUGAGUGUAGUGUGUGUAGAAGAUAGAGAGAAUGAUUUUAGAGUGGAGCUCUUGUCUCCAAAGAACUUAGAUAAUAUUAGAUAGAGUGAUGUUUUUGAGAUGUUUUAGAUUUUGUGAGAUUGGUUACAAAUGGCUCACAAGAGCUCUAUUUAUAGGUGUGGGAAGAUCUUUCUAGAUCCCACUACACUAACUUGUAUCUAGAAUUCUCUACUAACAUCCACUUAAGGAAUUCUCUAGAUACUAUAUAGAAAAUAUCUAAUCUCUAGAAUACUCAUUCUUGUCCUAGUAUUAUUUAGAAUACUCUAGAUUAAUCUAGCUAGUGGUGAAUUCUCUAGAAUAUUCAUAGCUUAUUCUCACCUAGAAUAUUCUAGAUAAAUGCAUCACACUUCAAUACUCCUCCUUGAUGCAUUUAUCGGUUACUCCAAGCAUUCUUCGUAGAAACUGGAAUCUGUCCCUUGGUAGUGCUUUUGUGAAGAUGUCCGCCAACUGCUCUUCUGUUGGACAAUACUUCAUCUCGAUAAGUUUCUUUGCUUCAACAUCUCUCAAGAAGUGAUACUUGAUGUCGAUGUGCUUGGUGCGAUUGUGCUGAACUGGAUUCUUAGCCAUUGCUAUAGCUGACUUGUUAUCGCAGUAGAUCUCUGUCGAUGAGUCUUGCGGUUCGCCCAUAUCCGCUAGUAUUCUUCUAAGCCAUAUAGCUUGACAUGCUGCUUCGGCUGCUGCAACAUACUCAGCUUCUGCUGUUGAUAGUGCAACUGAGUCUUGCUUCUUUGAUCCCCAAGAAAAAAUUCCUGAGCCAAGCUUGAAAGCAUAGCCUGAGGUGCUUUUCAUGUCAUCUUGAGAUCCAGCCCAAUCACUAUCGCUAUAUCCACUGAUCUGUGAGUCAGACUUUGGUUUGUACCAGAUACCAUAGUUGAGCGUACCUUGCAGGUAUCUGAGAAGUCUCUUUGCUGCUCCAUAGUGGGUCUCCUUCGGACUUUCCAUGAAUCUGGAUAGAAGGCUUGUUGCAUACUUGAUGUCAGGCCUUGUUGCCGUCAAAUAUAGUAGACUCCCAAUCAAACUUCGAUAGUUUGUAGAAUCCGUCGGUUUUGACCCAUCUUCUUUCUUCAACUUCUCAUUUGGAAUGAGAGGUGUAACCACUGGCUUGCAGUCUUGCAUCUUGAACUUCUUGAGCAUAUCUUCAAUAUACUUCUUUUGUGAUAGGAAGAUGCCUUCUUCCUCUUGACUUAUCUCCAUUCCGAGAAAAUAGUGCAUUAAUCCUAAGUCCGUCAUCUCAAAGGUGCUCAUCAUGUCUCUCUUGAAAUCCUCGAUCAAUUUUGUGUUAUUUCCUGUGACAAUUAAGUCAUCAACAUAAAGAGAGACAAUCAGGAUGUUCGUACCUAGAGUUUUGAUGUAUAGAGUUGCUUCGUUCUUGCUCCUCCUGAAUCCUUGACCGGUGAAAUAUCCGUCUAUUUUGCUGUACCAGGCUCGUGGCGCUUGUUUGAGCCCAUAGAGUGCUUUCUUGAGGCGAAGAACUUUGCCUUCUUGUUUUGUGAAUCCUUCUGGCUGCUCCACAUAUAUCUUGUCUGUUAGAUCUCCAUUGAGAAAUGCCGACUUAACAUCAAGUUGAUAGAUUUUCCAUCUCUUUUGAGCCGCCAGAGCUAUGAGUGCUCGAAUUGUGUCCAUCCGUGCCACUGGAGCAAACGUUUCUGUGUAGUCGACUCCUGGUACUUGAGCAUAUCCUUUUGCGACAAGUCUUGCCUUAUGCUUCUGGAUCGAACCAUCAGGAUUCAGCUUUGUCUUGAACACCCAUUUGACUCCAAUGACUUCCUUGUCACUUGGAAGAUCCACCAACUCCCAAGUAUCAUUCUUUUCUAUCAUUUUUAUCUCCUCCUCCAUUGCUUUAAUCCAAACUUUCUCUUUGGAUGCUUCUGCAUAGUUACUUGGCUCCAAAGAACAAAAGUUGCAUGUCUCAUAUAUAUCAGUGGAUUCAUAUAAAUCUGCUAGAGUUCUUACCCGAAAAGGUGGAAAGUCUGGUGAGGAGUCUGAGUCGGAUCCACUUGAGGUAUUGGCUUCUGAAGAGGACCUUGGUGGGCUUUGUUGAUCUUGUUCUCCAUGUUCUGUGACUUCUUUUAGGAGUGUAGUUGUUGUCUGCCUUUCAACACUUUCUGUCUCCCAAUUCCAGGAGGCUUGUUCGUCAAAUUCCACGUCUCGACUUGUCACCAGCUUCUUGGUCUCAAGAUUGUAGAUUCUAUAACCCUUGGAUUUAGAGCUGUAGCCGAGGAAGAUUCCCUUCUCCGUCUUGUCCUCCAGUUUGUGUCUUUUUACUGAGGGAAUGUGGAUGUAGCAGAUACUUCCAAAGACCCUCAAAUGUUUAGCUGAAGGCUUUUGUCCUGACCAAGCUUCGAUCGGCGUCUUGUUUAGCACGGCCUUUGUUGGACAUCGGUUGAGUAGGUAGACCGAUGUAUAUACUGCCUCCGCCCAAAACUUCUUUGGCAAUCCUUUCUCCGCCAGCAUGGAUCUCGCCAUCUCCAUGACUGUUCGAUUCUUUCUUUCCGACACGCCGUUUUGUUGUGGAGUGUAGGCCACCGUUAGUUGAUGCUCCACACCUUCAUCUUCACAGAACUUGUCGAACUCUUUUGAGUUGUAUUCGGUACCUCGAUCGCUUCUCAGUUUCUUUAUUUUGCGACCACUUUGGUUCUCCACAAAGUUCUUGAAUCUCUUGAAGAUUCUAAAACUUCUGAUUUUUCUUGGAGAAAUAUACCCAAGUCAUUCUAGAGUAGUCAUCAAUAAAGAGUAUGAAGUACCUGUUUUGGUUUACUGAAGGUGUGCGCAUUGGACCGCAAACGUCGGUGUGGACAAGCUCUAGUAUCUCCUUGGCUCGCCAUGUUUUCUCCGUUGGAAAUGGUUGUCUGUGUUGCUUUCCGAUCAUGCAUCCUUCGCAUACACCUUCUCUUUCAUUUAGAAGAGGCAUAUCUCUCAUCAUAUUUUUCUGAUGAAGUAGCCUCAAGGCAUUUAGGUUGAAAUGCCCAAAUCUCCGGUGCCAUAGACUCGUAUCGUCGAGUUGAGCCACCAUUGCCUUUUGUGGAUAUUGCCAUUGAAUGGGAAAGUUUCUAUUUUUUCCCAUUUUUACUACUGCAAUAUCUUGGUUAUUUUUCUUGUCGUAAAUUCGACAAGAAUCUUUCUCAAAGUGGAGGGCAUAUCCAUUUUCCAUCAUUUGGCCAACACUUAAUAGACUUUGUGCAAGACGAGGUACUAGGAGAACAUUUCUAAUAAAUCGCGUACCUUUAUUAGUUUCUAUGGCAAUUGUACCUUUCCCUUUCGUCUCCACCAGUUCUCCAUUGCCCAUCUUCACCUUCGUCUUGACUGAAGUAUCUAACUCACGGAAGAUGGUCUCGUUGGAUGUCAUGUGGUUGCUGCAUCCGCUAUCGAUGUACCAUUCUUCUUCUCGUGCUUCCGUUGCCGAGUGACAUGCAUAGAACAUGUACUCCUUCUCAUUUUGAUUUUCUGAAUAGUUGGCUUGAUGAUUUCUUCUAUCUCUGCAAUCUUUUUCCACAUGCCCGAACCUUUUGCAGUUUUUGCACUGUGGCUUUCCUCGAUGAUAGCAAUCCUUCUCCAAGUGAUUUGUCUUCUUGCAAAUUCCGCAUGGUGGAAAAUUUGCCUUGCUCUCCUUGUUGCUGGAGCUUCCUUCCUUGUGAUUGCUUUUAAAAUUUCCGCCGCUCCUUGACUUAUUGCCUCUAACGUUGAGUUUGGACUGAAAGGCACUCUCAAGUGAACUUUCAUGUCGCCUACUCAAUCGUUGCUCGUGUGCUUCCAAGGAACCCAUCAGCUCCGCGACAGGUCUUUUUGAUAAAUCUUUUGAUUCUUCAAUCGCCGCCACUACUGGAUCAUACUUCUCGGUAAGGCUGAUUAAGAUCUUCUGUAUGAUCCUUUCAUCGGAGACGUUAUCUCCGUAUGACCGCAUUUGAUUGAUUAUUUCCAUUAUUCUUGAGAAAUAAUCUUUUGCGGCUUCUGAAUCUUUCAUUUUAAGAUUCUCUAGUUCUCGCCUUAAACUUUGCAGUUUAAUGGUUCGAACUUUAACGUUUCCUUGGAACUCCUCCUUAAGGAUAUCCCAAGCUUCUUUUGCAGUAGUGGCUCGAAUAAUUCUUGCCAUGAUAGAAUCACUAACAGAUUGUUGGAGAAGAUAAAGAGCUUUAGCAUUUUGUUGCUUUAAUUUCUUACGUACCUCGGAUGAGGAUGUCUUGUCGAUAUCUUCUCCCGGCAUGGUGAUUCCUUCUUCAAUGACAUCCCAAAGAUCAUGGGAUUCAAGGCAAGUCUUCAUACGAACACUCCAAUAGUCAUAGUUUUCUCCAUUGAAUAUUGGAGUCGUGAUGGAGAGACUUGACGACGCCAUAACGCCCGCUUAUGAUCGAACAAGCUCUGAUGCCACUUGUUAGAAAAUGGAGGUGAUUAUAUAGUGGUUUGAGUGUGGUGAGUGAUUGUAGUGAAGUGGUGUAGAGAAUAUUGUGAGUGUAGUGUGUGUAGAAGAUAGAGAGAAUGAUUUUAGAGUGGAGCUCUUGUCUCCAAAGAACUUAGAUAAUAUUAGAUAGAGUGAUGUUUUUGAGAUGUUUGAGAUUGGUUACAAAUGGCUCACAAGAGCUCUAUUUAUAGGUGUGGGAAGAUCUCUCUAGAUCCCACUACAUUAACUUGUAUCUAGAAUUCUCUACUAGUAUCUACUUAAGGAAUUCUCUAGAUACUCUAUUUUAAAUAUCUAAUUUCUAGAAUACUCAUACUUCUCCUAGGUAUUAUUUAGAAUACUCUAGAGUAAUCUAGCUAGUGGUGAAUUCUCUAGAAUAUACAUAGCUUAUUCUCACCUAGAAUAUUCUAGAUAAA